CCUACGGGAGGCAGCAGUGAGGAAUAUUGGUCAAUGGACGAGAGUCUGAACCAGCCAAGUAGCGUGAAGGAUGACUGCCCUAUGGGUUGUAAACUUCUUUUAUAUGGGAAUAAAAUGUUCCACGUGUGGGAUUUUGUAUGUACCAUAUGAAUAAGGAUCGGCUAACUCCGUGCCAGCAGCCGCGGUAAUACGGAGGAUCCGAGCGUUAUCCGGAUUGAUUGGGUUUAAAGGGAGCGUAGGUGGAUUGUUAAGUAAGUUGUGAAAGUUUGCGGCUCAACCGUAAAAUUGCAGUUGAAACUGGCAGUCUUGAGUACAGUAGAGGUGGGCGGAAUUCGUGGUGGAGCGGUGAAAUGCUUAGAUAUCACGAAGAACUCCGAUUGCGAAGGCAGCUCACUGGACUGCAACUGACACUGAGGCUCGAAAGUGUGGGUAUCAAACAGGAUUAGAUACCCGUGUAGUC
rnacentral:rRNA from 1 species